UAACGCGAAGAACCUUACCAAGGCUUGACAUGGACCGGACCGCCGCAGAAAUGUGGUUUCCCCUUUGGGGCCGGUUCACAGGUGGUGCAUGGUUGUCGUCAGCUCGUGUCGUGAGAUGUUGGGUUAAGUCCCGCAACGAGCGCAACCCUCGUUCCAUGUUGCCAGCGCGUAAUGGCGGGGACUCAUGGGAGACUGCCGGGGUCAACUCGGAGGAAGGUGGGGACGACGUCAAAUCAUCAUGCCCCUUAUGUCUUGGGCUUCACGCAUGCUACAAUGGCCGGUACAAAGGGUUGCGAUACUGUGAGGUGGAGCUAAUCCCAAAAAGCCGGUCUCAGUUCGGAUUGGGGUCUGCAACUCGACCCCAUGAAGUCGGAGUCGCUAGUAAUCGCAGAUCAGCAACGCUGCGGUGAAUACGUUCCCGGGUCUUGUACACACCGA
rnacentral:rRNA from 1 species